rnacentral:rRNA from 1 species
UACGGAGGGGGCUAGCGUUGUUCGGAAUUACUGGGCGUAAAGCGCGCGUAGGCGGACCUGCAAGUCGGGGGUGAAAGCCCGAGGCUCAACCUCGGAACUGCCUUCGAUACUGCGGGUCUCGAGUCCGGGAGAGGUGAGUGGAAUUCCUAGUGUAGAGGUGAAAUUCGUAGAUAUUAGGAAGAACACCAAUUGCGAAGGCAGCUCGCUGGGACGUAACUGACGCUGAGACGCGAAAGCGUGGGGAGCAAACAGG